GUGAUACUUCAUAGAAUCACUUCUACAGUAUGAUUGCCAAGUUCCUUGACCGAAACUUGGUGUAAUCUCAUGCCACGAUGACGAGGUUGAGUGUCCGUGCCUGAACGGGAAGCUGCCUUGUGGAUCAUCCUGAGGCUUGAGGACCGUCCACAUCCGAGAGGGUGUGGUGGGUCGGGCAAAGACUGAGUGAA